rnacentral:rRNA from 1 species
AUUGAACGCUGGCGGCAGGCCUAACACAUGCAAGUCGAGCGAGCGGAGGACGUGUGUGUAACGCCCGGGAAUUGCCCAGUCGAGGGGGAUAACCGUUGGAACCGAUUCCUAAUACCGCUUACGAUAGGACUGCCACGGUGGGUUGAGCUAGUUGGUGAGGUACUGGCUCACCAUGGCGACGAUCCCGAGCUGGUCUGAGAGGAUGAUCGGCCACACUGGAACUGGGACACGGUCCAGACUCCUACGGGAGGCAGCAGUGGGGAAUAUUGCACAAUGGGGGAAACCCUGAUGCAGCCAUGCCGCGUGUGUGAAGAAGGCCUUCGGGUUGUAAAGCACUUUCAGCGGGGAGGCGUUACUCGCAGAGGAAGCACCGGCUAACUCCGUGCCAGCAGCCGCGGUAAUUC